rnacentral:rRNA from 1 species
GAAACAUCUAAGUACCCGGAGGAAAGGAAAUCAAUAGAGACUCCGUCAGUAGCGGCGAGCGAACGCGGACCAGCCGAGCCUGGAAGUGUGACUGGAACUGUCUGGAAAGGCAGGCCAUAGCGGGUGACAGCCCCGUACAGGAAGCACCACGGGACAUAUUAAGUAGGGCGGGACACGUGAAAUCCUGUCUGAAGAUCGGGGGACCACCCCCGAAGGCUAAGUACUCCUUGCUGACCGAUAGCGAACCAGUACCGUGAGGGAAAGGUGAAAAGCACCCCGACAAGGGGAGUGAAACAGUACCUGAAACCGGACGCCUACAAGCAGUCGGAGGGGCCAUGAGCCCUGACGGCGUACCUUUUGUAUAAUGGGUCAACGACUUGGUCUAACGAGCGAGCUUAAGCCGAUAGGUGUAGGCGCAGCGAAAGCGAGUCUUAAAAGGGCGCAUGAGUUCGUUGGAUCAGACCCGAAACCAGAUGAUCUAGCCAUGAGCAGGAUGAAGGUUGGGUAACACCAACUGGAGGUCCGAACCAACACCCGUUGAAAAGGGUCU